rnacentral:rRNA from 1 species
GACGAACCGUGCGAAUGUUAUUCGGAAUCAUUGGGCUUAAAGCGCGUGUAGGCGGAUGGGAACGUCGGCUUUGAAAGCCCCCGGCUCAACCGGGGAAUUGGCGCCGAAACGACCCGUCUAGAGGGGCAUAGGGGGAGCUGGAACUUCCGGUGGAGGGGUGAAAUGCGUUGAGAUCGGAAGGAACGCCCGUGGCGAAAGCGAGCUCCUGGAUGUCUUCUGACGAUGAGAAGCAAAGCUAGGGUAGCGAACGGG